rnacentral:lncRNA from 1 species
CUUCGGGUUUAAUUAAAUAGUUUAAUCUUUUAAGGGUCGGUUUUCCUUCAAAUAAAAAGAAUUCAGGUUUAGCAAAUAAAACACAUUGUGAUUACUUGGGAUUGUACUCUUGUGACGGCAAAUCCUUCGUAAUGUACGCUCCACAGGUAAAGAUAAACUUGGUUUCAUGCAUGGCCUGUCUUUUAUUCCCCCUGUGAGCCGUAUACCAAGCCUGUGUGUGUGCAUUGAGUUGUCUUUGUCAGAAACAAAGCGCACAAACAUACAAACCCUAUCGAUUUGAAUACAACUAAAGGAAGUUAACAGCAACUUAUUUUAAGCAAAUAUCUGCGUAAUUUAGUAAUAUAACAUGGAUAACUGCUAGCCGCGGCACACAGUAUGUGACCUUUAACCUUAUCUGUGAUUUUUCUUCUUGUUUUUAACUGAAAAUUUGUCACCUCAAAGAAACGAAAUCCAGAUGUGGAAAAUGGGUUCCGGAGAAAGCUAAUGUGAAUGUGAUGAUGACGAUUAUUUCCAAGAUUGUGGGUGGCUUGUAAGAGUGACUUCAGGUUUUGAGCGGUUUCUUUUAUGCAGGAGUGAUUGACUUUUGCCGUCAAUGGUUCCCUAUCAUUCUAGCUAGGGGUGGAUUUUUUUGCCAAAUUGUCAUGCCAACCGAAUUGCCAACCGUGCCAUACCGAUUUUGUGCCAAAUUUUUUGUACCAAUCAGUAAUUGUAUGGUAUUGUACCGUACCGAAAUUUCAUGGUAUGGUAUUGGUAAUGGAUAUCAUUACCACGGUAUUACCAUAUCAUACCGAAAAUACAAUAUAAUAUAUCAUUUAUAAACGAUAUAAUAGAUAAUUAUAUAACACAUAUUUAUAAUAUUCCAAUAAUUUGAAAAUAAAACCCUACUUAUAUUAGCAUUGUUGUUGGUGACUUUGAUCUCUUGAAAUUGUGGAAAUCAAACACAAAAGAGUUCCUAAUUCUUUCGCAAAUAGCCAAAAUAUCUUUGUAACCCCCACUUCUACUGUUGCUAGUGAAAAUGCAUUUAGCCUAGGAAGGAGGGUUGUGAACCCUUUUAGGGUAUCAUUGACUCCUAAAAUGAUGGAGGCACUAGUGCGUACUAGUGGUUGGCUUAAGGCAAAUGAAGUAAACUUCUACAAUGAAUCAACAGAAGAUAUGCUUCAAUUUUACAAGGAAAUGGAAGAAGAGAAAACAAGAAAGAUAUGCUUUAAUUUUUUUUUAGUAAAUUUGUUAUUAAAUGGUUUUCAACUUUAAUUCUUCUUGCUACUAAUUAAUAUGUUUUCUUUGUUUGUAAUGUAGGCUUGACACAAACUCUUCUACAAGUUCAAUGCCUCCUCCAAAAGCUUCGACAUCUCAAGCUUGAAUAAUUGAUCAAUGAAUUCUCCUUUUUGAAGUUUACUUCCAAUUUUCAUUUGGUUUGAAACUUUAAUUUCUAUUUGGAUUGUUAACUUCUAUUUAUUUUGGUUCGUAACUUCUAUUUGGAUUGUAAGCUUAAUUUUCAUGAUGAAUAUUGAUACAUUAUUUGAAUUAUUAUGUGUGUGAAUUGUGAAUGAUGAAUAAUAGAUGAAUUUAUUCUAUAAUGUAUGAGAUAAAGGUAAAAAAAAAAGUUUUGCCCUUGAAUUGGGUUAAAAAAAAACAAAAACAGAUUUUGUCUCAAAACAAAAUGGCAAUUACCAUUGUCAUACCAUGCCAACCGAACUUUUGGCAAUACUGAACUUCGGUAUACCGAAAGUUUGGUAUGGUAAUGGUAAUAGAUUUUACCAAACCGAAAGUUUAGUACGGCAAUUGGUACAAGGGUUUUGGUACGGUAACCGUAUCGAACCCACCCAUAAUUCUAGCUAUUAAUUUUUUAACAAAUAAUAAUGAAAAUUAUAUAUCCUUGAAAUUCGUGUGUCAGAAUUAGGGUUGAUUUGGGAUUGUAAUACUUUUAGAAAGAAAAAAUUGACAUAAAUAACCUAUUUUUUUAAUCUUGGAACCAAAAUAGGAUUUUUUGAAUAUGCACAGAACAUGCAUACGACAUGCGCAACAAUAGAACAUAAAUUGGAUUUUUCCUAUCCUUGAAAUGACAUAAUUGCCCUCGUAUAUAAAUAGAUUAUUUCUUCCAACCCAGUCAGCAUUUGCAUCUUUCUCCGAAAAUCUCUCUUGCCCAAUUCCUAUCUCAAAGAUCCCUAACCACCAAAUCGUGGGGAAAUGGCGAAUGAGGCUAUUGCUCAAGUUGGAGAUUUCUUCUCAAAUCAUCAUCUUCUUCCCCAAAUUUGAAAUCUUAUUCAAAACCCAUAUGGGUCCAUCUAGUUGUAUUUUGCAAAAUCUCAUUGUAUUUUGUGAAAUCCCAUCCAAAUUCGAAACCCCAAAUUCGAAAUCUCAUUCUAUCCCUUUGUCUUCUUCUCCGUUGAUUUCGUCGGAUUCGGGCUCGUCGUCAACAGUUUGGGAAGAGGGAAUGUCAUUGGAAAAGACAAUUUCUUACAGAAAAUGACUCAUUUAUAGGGCUCGUCGUCUUCUUUUGUGUGUUUAGUGAAUGAUUUAGGGAAUGUCGUCGUCUUAUUCCUGCCACCGGCCUCUAGCUUCUGCUUGGGGUCGGUGGCAGCAACCUUUUCAAACAUGUUUUCCUCCUCCUCCUCCGUCUCUUUAACCUUCUCUUCCUGCCCAACACCUACAGUGGCUUCCCUUUUCCUUCUGGAAUUUGGGGAUCUACAAUUGUUCUCUGGAAGUGUUGGAAAUUUGAAUAGUUUGAGUAAAAAUUUCUUUGUCCCACAUUGGCCAUUCCCAAAAGAUUUUAUCACUUUAUAAGGCUUUGUUCUUUAUAGAAAGUGAUUGGAGUAAUAGGCCUGAAGAAUAAAAUUGGGCUCGCUCUUGGGGUUGGGCUUUGG